AUUGAACGCUGGCGGCAUGCUUUACACAUGCAAGUCGAACGGUAACAGGCCGCAAGGUGCUGACGAGUGGCGAACGGGUGAGUGAUGCAUCGGAACGUGCCCAGUCGUGGGGGAUAACGCAGCGAAAGCUGCGCUAAUACCGCAUACGAUCUAUGGAUGAAAGCGGGGGACCGUAAGGCCUCGCGCGAUUGGAGCGGCCGAUGGCAGAUUAGGUAGUUGGUGGGGUAAAGGCUCACCAAGCCAACGAUCUGUAGCUGGUCUGAGAGGACGACUAGCCAAGCUGGGACUGAGACACGGCCCAGACUCCUACAGGAGGCAGGAGGGGGGAAUGUUGGACAAUGGGCGCAAGCCUGAUCCAGCAAUGCCACGUGCAGGAAGAAGGCCUUCGGGUUGUAAACUGCUAUUGUACGGAGCGAAAAAGCUCUCUCUAAUACAGGGGGCUCAUGACGGUACCGUAAGAAUAAGCACCGGCUAACUACGUGCCAGCCGCCGCAGUAACAC
rnacentral:rRNA from 1 species